rnacentral:rRNA from 1 species
CCUACGGGUGGCAGCAGUGAGGCAUAUUGGUCAAUGGGCUUACGCCUGAACCAGCCAAGUCGCGUGAGGGAAGACUUCCCUAUGGGUUGUAAACCUCUUUUGUCAGGGAGCAAUUUGCGCUACGUGUAGCGUUAUCGAGAGUACCUGUAGAAAAAGCCUCGGCUAACUCCGUGCCAGCAGCCGCGGUAAUACGGAGGAUGUGAGUGUUAUCCGGUUUUAUUGUGUUUAAAGGGUGUGUAGGAGGAAGGCCAACUCAGCGGUAAAAUCGCGGGGCUCAACCUCGCUCCGCGGUUGAAAAUGGCGUUCUUGAGUGGGCGAGAAGUAGGCGGAAUGAGUGGUGUAGCGGUGAAAUGCAUAGAGAGCACGAAGAACUCCGAUUGCGAAGGCAGCAUACCGGAGCCCAACUGACGCUGAAGCACGAAAGCGUGGGUAUCGAACAGGAUUAGAUACCCGUGUAGUC